rnacentral:sRNA from 1 species
GCCUAGCCCUGAUAGCAGUGAAAAUCCUUUUUGUUUUUUCUUUAAAAACAAAAAGAUUACUUCACAUAAAUUAUAUUUUUAGUGGAGUUCAGUGAACUUCGUUUGCAACGGAUAGCAGGAAAAAGC